rnacentral:rRNA from 1 species
CUUGGUCAUUUAGAGGAAGUAAAAGUCGUAACAAGGUUUCCGUAGGUGAACCUGCGGAAGGAUCAUUCAUAAUAAGUGCUCUACUGCACUUUUUAAACAAGUACUCACCUUGUGUGCAAUGUUUGCUGACGUCGUCGUUCACGCGUCGCGUCAGCUUAAUACCAACCCUUUAUUGAAACUAUUUUGUCUGAAGAUAUUUUGAAUAAAUAAUUCUAAAUACAACUUUCAACAACGGAUCUCUUGGCUCUCGCAUCGAUGAAGAACGCAGCGAAAUGCGAUACGUAAUGUGAAUUGCAGAAUUCAGUGAAUCAUCGAAUCUUUGAACGCACAUUGCACUCUCUGGUAUUCCGGAGAGUAUGCUUGUUUGAGUAUCUGUAAACAUCUCAAAUCUCUUUGCGCUUGCGUAUAAGAGACUUGGAUUUGAGCGAUCCCGACUCCUUCGACAGAAAGAGGAGGGUCGCUUGAAAUGCAGGUGCAGCUGGACAUUCUUCUGAGCUAAAAGCAUAUCUAUUUAGUCCCGUUAAACGGAUUAUUACUUUUGCUUCAGCUAAUAUAAAGGUCGAAUGAACUACCAACGCUGAUUGCAGGAAAACUCGUUUUUUAUUAAAACUUGUAAACUCGAUCUCAAAUCAAGUAAGACUACCCGCUGAACUUAAGCAUAUCAAUAAGCGGAGGAAAAGAAACUAACAAGGAUUCCCCUAGUAACGGCGAGUGAAGCGGGAUGAGCUCAAAUUUAAAAUCUGGCUGGUUUACUAGUCCGAGUUGUAGUUUAAAGAAGCGUUUUCGGUGGCAGUCUCGGUAUAAAUCCUUUGGAAUAGGGUAUCAUAGAGGGUGAGAAUCCCGUCUUUGACUGAGAAUAUGCUACUAUGUGAUACGUUUUCAAAGAGUCGAGUUGUUUGGGAAUGCAGCUCAAAAUGGGUGGUAAAUUUCAUCUAAAGCUAAAUAUUGGCGAGAGACCGAUAGCGAACAAGUACCGUGAGGGAAAGAUGAAAAGAACUUUGAAAAGAGAGUUAAACAGUGCGUGAAAUUGUUGAAAGGGAAACGCUUGAAACCAGUCAUGCGGUUGGGAAAUCAGUCUCUGACGGGGGGGAAUAGGGGAGGUGUGGACCGUAAGGCCGCUCUUUUUUAUAUCUUUCUCGCCAGGGAUGCACUUUUUCUUCUGCAGGUCAACAUCAGUUUGCUUUGCCGGACAAAACUCUUGGGAAGGUGACAGCUUAGGCUGUGUUAUAGCCCUCGAGCGAUACGGUGGAGCGGACUGAGGUUUUCGCAGCAUGUGCUCUCGGGCAAGGCUGAUUGGGUGCUAUGAGAUCGUUCAGGGUACAAUACAUGUAUUUUGCCUCGUGUCUUUUUUAUACUCGCUCAACUCGGCUCUUCCAUGCUUAGGAUGUUGACAUAAUGGUUUUAAUCGACCCGUCUUGAAACACGGACC